UUCCUGUUUGGGAAUAUGAUAACUUCUUCGUCAUUCUAAUCAAACCAGGAAGAAUCUCGAUGUGAGAAGAUGUAUUUGGAUGCAUAAAGUAGUGGAGAAUCACCAGGAAGUUGAACAAAUCUUAUAGGAGUUAGGAUGAAGAAGUUAUCCCACUUUCAAAUCAGGAGAUCCCAGUUGUCCUGUUUGGGAAUAUGACAACUUCUUCGUCAUUCUAAUCAAACAAGGAUGAAUAGCGAUGUGAGAAGCUGUUAUUGGAUACAUAAAGUAGUGGAGAAUCACCAGGAAGUUGAAUAAAUCUCAUAGGAGUUAGAAUGAGGAAGUUAUCCCACUUUCAAAUCAGGAGAUCCCAGUUUUGAUAUUUGGUAAUAUGACAACUUCUUCGUCAUUCUAAUCAAACAAGAAUGAAUCGCGAUGUGAGAAGCUGUAUUUGGAUACAUAAAGUAGUGGAGAAUCACCAAGAAGUUGAAGAAGUUAUCCCACUUUCAAAUUAGGAGAUCCCAGUUUUCAUAUUUGGGAAAAGAAGUUAUCCCACUUUCAAAUCAGGUGAUCCUUGUUUUCACGUUUGGGAAUACGACAACUCCUUCAUCAUUCUAAUCAAACCAGGAUGAAUCUUGAUGCGAAAAGCUGUAUUUGGAUGCAUAAAGUAGUGGAGAAUCACCAGCCAGUUGAAUAAAUCUCAUAGGAGUUAGGAUGAAGAAGUUAUCCUACUUUCAAAUCAGGAGAUCCCAGUUUUCCUGUUUGGGAAUAUGACAACUUCUUCGUCAUUCUAAUCAAGCCAGGAUGAAUCACGAUGUGAGAAGCUGUAUUUGGAUAUAUAAAGUAGUGGAGAAUCACCAGGCAGUUGAAUAAAUCUCAUAGGAGUUAGGAUGAAGAAGUUAUCCUACUUUCAAAUCAGGUGAUCCCAGUUUUCCUG
rnacentral:lncRNA from 1 species